ensembl:lncRNA
CAUAAAUAUAAGCUUUGAGUCAAUAUAAUAUUAUAUAUGUACGGUUUUGGGGUAUAUCUUUGGGUGUUCAAAAUGAAAUACAUGUUCUUCCUUUUGUAGGAAAUAACUACUGCUUUUACCCUUCCUUGAGUACUUGAAAUAUUCUAUAGGGUUUAAAGUACCCUAAGAUUUUUGGGUCUACUUUUGUAUCCUAAUAUUGGCUCUGUCUCCAUCAGCUGCUGGCUCAGCCUCUUGGAGGACAACCAUGCUUGUCUCCGAUCAGUAAGCAUAGUUAUAGUGUAAGGGCUUGGACCCUUCCCUUGAGAUGGAUCCCAAGUUAGGCCAGUCACUGGGUCUUCUUUUCUUUGGUCUCUUAUCCAUGUUUGUCUCUGUAGUACAUUUAGACAGGAAUAAUUAUGGGUCAAAGUUUUUGACUGUGAAAUGGAAACCCCACCCAUACACUUGAUGCUCUGUCUUUCUACUGUAGGUAGAUUUUCUACAAAUUCCCUCUCCCCAUUGUUGGGCAUUUCAUCUAAUGUCCCGCUCUUUGAUUCCUGAGAGCCUCUCAUCUCCCCAAUCUCUGGUACACUCUAGAAAUUCCACCACCUCCUAAAUCCUGAGGUUACCUGUCCCCAUUAUUUAUGCUGGUCUUCAGUGCUUCUCACCUGACCCCUGCCAUUACCUGGUCAUGUUCUCCUUUUACCCUGUUCCUCUCCUCUCCUUCCCAGGUCCUUCCUUCCCUCAGCACCCCAUGAUUGCUUACUUCUCCCUCAAAAAUGGGAUUGAAGCAUUCUUACUUGGGCCCUUCAGCUUGUUAACCUUUGUGAGUUCUGUGGAUUUUGUCCUGGGUAUUCUGUUUAUUUUUAGGUACUCUCCAUAUAUUAGUGAGUACAUACCAUGCAUCUUUUUUUUGAGUGUGAGUUGCCUUACUACGAAUGAUAAUUUCUAGUCCCAUCCCUUUGCCUGCAAAACUAAUGAUGUCCUUGUUCUUAAUAACUGAAUAGUAUUCCAUUGUUUAAAUGAACCACAUUUUCUAUAGGAUAUUUAUGACUUUUUAUCUUCUACAGUUAAAGCCCUCCUGUUUUACCAUUGUCCACAUCUUAUCAUUUGUAACUCCUGUGUUCUGUCCACUCUGAUAACAAUUUAACCAGCUAAGUUAAUCUUCACUUCCAUAACUAUUUAUUAUGAUCUACAAGAAGAAAAUAAAGGCAAAUAGAAGGCUACACAGCUAAAUAAGGCAAAUAAUACCUGACUUCUGAAGAUGUCACUAAAAUAGUUUGCAAGGAGAAAAUACUAGUUUUGAGGCUGGCAUCAAAAAUCUAAUAAUAAGGGGAACACAAGGAUACACAGGGCCCCAAAAUAAUCUCUGAAUUUCAGUCUUCGCAUGAGCAUAUGUUCAAGUUUUGUUCAUAGCAGGGAAUAAACUCAGUGAUCCUGUAGGUAAGCAUAUCUAGUAAAAGAGGUCAUAGUAUGUGCUUUUCAUAUCAGAUAAAAGUGAAGAAUCUUUAACAUGUUGAGAAUUUCAACUCGAAUCAUACAUAUAUACAAAAUACCUUGUAUACAUGGGAAAACACACAUACACACACACGCACAGAGCGAUAGAGGCAAUAGAGUCACACAUUCAAACACGUGUAGUAAGGUAUCAGAGCUUUAAUUGACUUUUAAAAAGAAUUAUUCUACAAGUAAUAUUUUAAUCUAGACUGAGUUGUAGACUCUUUGUACCAUAUUAUAAAUCCUUUGCUAUAUUUUUCGAGAUUAAUCUUGUGUGAAAAAUAUAUUGCAUUGAUGAAAAGCUAGAUGAUUUUCCUGAAAAAAUAAUACUUAGUAACUUAACAUGUAAUCACGCUCAUAUCAUAUAUCAGUAACAAUAUGGUGUAUGAACAUUUAGAUACCAUGGAUUUAAUAGAUUAAUGAAUAUAAUGAUUUAGAAUCCAUUGGUGUAUAAACAGGUCCUUUAAUGAGGAAAGAAAUAAGGACACAGACAUAAAGCAACCGCAUUUAUAGAGGCAGAACUGAAGGAAUUAAGCACAGAGUAACUAAAGGAUUGACUAGAUGAUUAGAGGACAAAGCAACUAUGUGGACCUGUCACUGUAAUCAUAUAGGUUCUGUUUGCAGUCAGUGCUGUCUGAUGGGCAGUACAUGGCCAGGAACCAUGUUAACAGGGAAAGGUUGAAAUCCAUGAGGUUUCACUCUGUAGACCACUACUAUCUACAGAGCUAGUUUGGAUCAUCCUUGUUUGGAUGAUGUCAAAUCACUGGAUACAUUCCGCACACGUUAUUCCUAGCAUUAAUGAAUACUCUAUGUUCUAGGGACCACAGAACAGUGGUGCUGUAAAUAAUAGUGAUCAAGCUGGCAGGUAAAAUAUAUUUCCUUUGUAUAGAAUGAUGUCCUUAUAACUGGGAAUACAUGCAGGAAUACAUUGCUAUUUUAAUGGCCUUAAAGUCCAAACUGAAUUUUAAUAAUUUCAGAAGUCCUUCCCUGUAUUUUAGUUCAAAUUCAACAGACAAUUUUCAGAACUAUAUUUCCAUGAUUGUCAAUAUCCACAGUAGGUAACUUAUGUGACCUUGAUGCAUUAGUGUGACAUGUGCAUAUUUUGCUUUUAAAUUUCCAGUCAUAGCUGUAGCUCAAUCUUUCAUUAUUAAUUAACUUGUAAAUCUGAGAUAUUAUAG